rnacentral:rRNA from 1 species
UACAGAGGUCUCAAGCGUUGUUCGGAUUCAUUGGGCGUAAAGGGUGCGUAGGUGGCGAGGUAAGUCAGGUGUGAAAUCUCGGAGCUCAACUCCGAAACUGCACUUGAUACUGCACCGCUCGAGUACUGGAGAGGAGAUUGGAAUUUACGGUGUAGCAGUGAAAUGCGUAGAUAUCGUAAGGAAGACCAGUGGCGAAGGCGAAUCUCUGGACAGUUACUGACACUGAGGCACGAAGGCCAGGGGAGCAAACGGG